CAACCAUCAAGCACAGCUUGGCAAUGGGCACCGUCCGGCGCACCCCCCUCCGGGGGAGGCCGCGGGCGGGCCUCAAAACCGUCGGCAGUGUCACGCGGACCCGCCGGGCGUAGCAGAAAAGGAAGGCUCACGCCGACCCCUCACGUCCGAGCGACCGCGGCGCGCGCCGUAAAGCCAAUGGCCCGCGAGGGCCGAACACCCAAA
rnacentral:misc_RNA from 1 species